rnacentral:rRNA from 1 species
AUUGAACGCUGGCGACAUGCCUUACACAUGCAAGUCGAACGGCAGCACGGGUGCUUGCACCUGGUGGCGAGUGGCGAACGGGUGAGUAAUACAUCGGAACAUGUCCUGUAGUGGGGGAUAGCCCGGCGAAAGCCGGAUUAAUACCGCAUACGAUCUACGGAUGAAAGCGGGGGACCUUCGGGCCUCGCGCUAUAGGGUUGGCCGACGGCUGAUUAGCUAGUUGGUGGGGUAAAGGCCUACCAAGGCGACGAUCAGUAGCUGGUCUGAGAGGACGACCAGCCACACUGGGACUGAGACACGGCCCAGACUCCUACGGGAGGCAGCAGUGGGGAAUUUUGGACAAUGGGCGAAAGCCUGAUCCAGCAAUGCCGCGUGUGUGAAGAAGGCCUUCGGGGUGUAAAGCACUUUUGUCCGGAAAGAAAUCCUUGGCCCUAAUACGGUCGGGGGAUGACGGUACCGGAAGAAUAAGCACCGGCUAACUACGUG